CCAACAGGGAUUGCCUCAGUAACGGCGAGUGAAGCGGCAACAGCUCAAAUUUGAAAUCUGGCUCUUUCAGGGUCCGAGUUGUAAUUUGUAGAGAGUGCUUCGGGUGAGACCGCGGUCUAAGUCCAUUGGAACAUGGCGUCAUAGAGGGUGAGAAUCCCGUAUGUGACUGUGGCUCGAGCCCAUGUGAAGCCUCUUCGACGAGUCGAGUUGUUUGGGAAUGCAGCUCAAAAUGGGUGGUAAAUUUCAUCUAAAGCUAAAUACUGGCUGGAGACCGAUAGCGCACAAGUAGAGUGAUCGAAAGAUGAAAAGCACUUUGGAAAGAGAGUCAAACAGUACGUGAAAUUGUUGAAAGGGAAGCGCUUGCAACCAGACCUGUCCGUAGGUGAUCAGCCGCUGUUCUCAGUGGUGCACUCGCUCUACGAUCAGGCCAGCAUCGGUUCUGGCGGCCGGAUAAAGGCCUUGGGAAUGUAGCUCCCUCCGGGGAGUCUUAUAGCCCUCGGUGCAAUGCGGCCAGCCGGGACCGAGGACCGCGCUUCGGCUAGGAUGCUGGCGUAAUGGUUGUAAGCGACCCGUCUUGAAACACGGACCAAGGAGUCUAACAUCUACGCGAGUGUUUGGGUGUUAAACCCAUGCGCGGAAUGAAAGUGAACGGAGGUGAGAACCCUUAAGGGCGCAUCAUCGACCGAUCCAGAUGUCUUCGGAUGGAUUUGAGUAUGAGCGUAGCUGUUGGGACCCGAAAGACAGUGAACUAUGCCUGAAUAGGGUGAAGCCAGAGGAAACUCUGGUGGAGGCUCGCAGCGGUUCUGACGUGCAAAUCGAUCGUCAAAUUUGGGUAUAGGGGCGAAAGACUAAUCGAACUGUCUAGUAGCUGGUUCCUGCCGAAGUUUCCCUCAGGAUAGCAGUAACGUUUUCAGUUUUAUGAGGUAAAGCGAAUGAUUAGAGGCCUUGGGGUUGAAACAACCUUAACCUAUUCUCAAACUUUAAAUAUGUAAGAAGUCCUUGUUACUUAGUUGAACGUGGRCAUUUGAAUGCACCGUUACUAGUGGGCCAUUUUUGGUAAGCAGAACUGGCGAUGCGGGAUGAACCGAACGCGAGGUUAAGGUGCCGGAAUGUACGCUCAUCAGACACCACAAAAGGUGUUGAUUCAUCUAGACAGCCGGACGGUGGCCAUGGAAGUCGGAAACCGCUAAGGAGUGUGUAACAACUCACCGGCCGAAUGAAUCAGCCCUGAAAAUGGAUGGCGCUCAAGCGUGCUACCCAUACCUCGCCGCCAGGGUAGAAACGAUGCCCUGGCGAGUAGGCAGGCGUGGGGG
rnacentral:rRNA from 1 species